UACGAAGGGGGCUAGCGUUGCUCGGAAUGACUGGGCGUAAAGGGCGCGUAGGCGGAGUGCUUUGUCGGGCGUGAAAUUCCAGGGCUCAACCUUGGGGCUGCGUUCGAGACGGGCAUUCUAGAGUGGAGAAGAGGGUCGUGGAAUUCCCAGUGUAGAGGUGAAAUUCGUAGAUAUUGGGAAGAACACCGGUGGCGAAGGCGGCGACCUGGUCUUUUACUGACGCUGAGGCGCGAAAGCGUGGGGAGCAACAGG
rnacentral:rRNA from 1 species